AGUGAACGCUGGCGGUAGGCCUAACACAUGCAAGUCGAACGGCAGCACAGUAAGAGCUUGCUCUUACGGGUGGCGAGUGGCGGACGGGUGAGGAAUACAUCGGAAUCUACUUUUUCGUGGGGGAUAACGUAGGGAAACUUACGCUAAUACCGCAUACGACCUACGGGUGAAAGCAGGGGAUCUUCGGGCCUUGCGCGACUGAAUGAGCCGAUGUCGGAUUAGCUAGUUGGCGGGGUAAAGGCCCACCAAGGCGACGAUCCGUAGCUGGUCUGAGAGGAUGAUCAGCCACACUGGAACUGAGACACGGUCCAGACUCCUACGGGAGGCAGCAGUGGGGAAUAUUGGACAAUGGGCGAAAGCCUGAUCCAGCCAUACCGCGUGGGUGAAGAAGGCCUUCGGGUUGUAAAGCCCUGUUGUUGGGAAAGAAAAGCAGCAGGUUAAUACCCCGCUGUUCUGACGGUACCCAAAGAAUAAGCACCGGCUAACUUCGUG
rnacentral:rRNA from 1 species